rnacentral:rRNA from 1 species
GACGAACGCUGGCGGCGUGCCUAAUACAUGCAAGUCGAACGCAGUUGCGAACGGGUGAGUAACGCGUAGGUAACUGCCUCAAAGCGGGGGAUAAAUAUUGGGAACGAUAGCUAAUAACCCAUACUGUGAGCUGGACCUGCGUUGUAUUAGCUAGUUGGUGAGGUAAAGGCUCACCAAGGCGACGAUCCAUAGCCGACCUGAGAGGGUGAUCGGCCACACUGGGACUGAGACACGGUCCAGACUCCUACGGGAGGCAGCAGUGGGGAAUAUUCGGCAAUGGACGGAAGUCUGACCGAGCAACGCCGCGUGAGUGAAGAAGGUUUUCGGAUCGUAAAGCUCUGUUGUUAGAGAAGGGGUAACUAACCAGAAGGGCACGCUUACUACGUGCCAGCAGCCGCGGUAAUAC